AGCUUCAGCGGUCGGAGUAGCUGGGAUUACAGGCACACACCACUACACCUGGAUAAUUUUUAUAUUCGGAUCCAGAUUUCUAAAUAUCUUUCUCCAGUUAAAAAAAAAACUAUAUAGGAAGCCGGAGCGGCCAAGAUGUCGCAGCCCAAGAAAAGAAAGCUUGAGUGGGGGGCGGAGGGGAGCGGGGGGCGGCGAAGGAGGGGAGGGAACUGAAGAGGAAGACGGUGCGGAGCGGGAGGCGGCCCUGGAGCGACCGGGGAGGGCUAAGCCGGAGCGGGACCAGCUGUACUACGAGUGCUACUCGGACGUUUGCGUCCACGAGGAGAUGAUCGCAGACCGCGUCCGCGAUCAUCUACCGACCGAUGCCUACUGCCUGGGCAUCCUGCGGAACUGCGCAGCACUGCGAGGCAAAACGGUACUGGACGUGGGCGCGAACACCGGCACUCUGAGCAUCUUGUGCCCCCAGGCCGGCGCCCGCCGCGUAAAGGCCAGCGCCAUCUGGCAACAGGCCCGGGAGGUGGUGCCCUUCCACGGGCUGGAGGACCGGGUGCACGUCCUGCCGGGCCCGGUGGAGACUGGAGUUGCCGGAGCAGGUGGCGGCCAUCGUGAGCGAGUGGAUGGGCUACGGACUCCUGCACGAGUCCCUGCUGAGCCCCGUCCUCCACGCGCGAACCAAGUGGCUGAAGGAAGACGGCCUUCUCCUGCGGCCUCCGCCGAGCUCUUCAUGGCCCCUGUCAGCGACCAGAUGCUGGAAUGGCGCCUGGGCUUCUGCAGCUUGGAGAAGCAGCACUGUGGUGCGGACGUGAGCUGCCUGCAGGGCUUCGCCACGCGCUGCCUCCUGGGCCUCUCGGAGAUCGUGGUGCAGGGACGGUCUGGCGAGGACUUGCCGGCCCGGCCGCCGCGCUUUGCUCAGCUAGAGCUCUCCCGGCGCGGGCCUGGCUCGGGAGCUGGAGCGCGGAGUGGGCGGGCGCCUCCGCUGCAGCUGCUAUGGCUGGGCGCCCAGGCUCGGCUUUGCCAUCUGGUUCCAGGUGACCGUCCCUGGAGGGGAGUCGGGAAACCCCCGGUCCUCCUCGCCUUUUCACCUGGUCACGCACUGGAAACAGGCGCUCCUCUACCUGAACGAGCCGGUGCAAGUGGAGCAAGACACGGACGUUUCAGGAGAGAUCACGCUGCUGCCUUCCCGGGACAACCCCCGUCGCCUGCACGUGCUGCUGCGCUACAAAGUGGGAGGCCAGGAGGAGAAGACCAAAGACUUUCCCGUGGAGGACUGAGCGUUGCCUUUUCUCCCAGCCACCUCCCAAGGCAGAGAAAGGGAGACCUCACUUGCAAACCGGGGAAAUAUGUGCCUCCCUUUUCCCUCGUAGCCUCUGGGGAGGGAGAGUGACUUCAUCCUUUGUAGAGAUUCUUCUGGUGAUGUUUAUUUAGAAAGUGAUCCCCUUCGACAACCAAUACACCGUGCUUAGUAUUGAGCUUUUAAGCCUCAAAAUCCUGUAGUACCAAGCACUUGUAUUUCCUUAUAUUUUGUCUCGCAGGAGAUGGAAAGGGGAAGAACACGGAUGAAAAUGUCAGUUUUUGAAGGUUCAUGCACAUCCCUGACACUUCACACCUUAUCUAAGUUUGAAGCUGGAGAGAAAGGGUUCAUUUAGACUUCGUAAAUUUCCAGUACGACUUUAGUAUCUCUCCAGAGCCUAGCCCAAGGGCUUAUUCAUAAUGAUGGGUAAAUUAUUUAAACUCACUUAAUUAAAGAAAAUAUUCUCCCAGCUAGAAAAAUGUACUCAUUCUCAUUUAAACGCUCUCAUUUGGGGGAUUAUGUGAGUUGGCCUACUUAAAACUAGUGAAAGUUCCGAUUUUUUGUCGUCGUUGUUGUCGUUGUUGUUGUUUUUUCUGUUUCACUCGGCCAAAUGUGAAAUUUGUGAGAUUAGGAAAAUCAGUUGUAAUGAAGUGUAGAUCAUAUUAUCAAAUUUAUUUCACUCAUGUGUCCCUCCUUAUCCUUGUAGCAAAUAAAGCACUGACAUUCUCACAUUUUGUAGAUGAAGAAGUCUUGUGCGCUGAGUUAUAAUGCUUUUGCCUUUUUAAUAUUGUCAGUUCUUAAGUGUUACAAUCCCUUCAGAAUAUAACUUCAGGACAAUUCAAACUAUGCUUAAUGUAUGGUUUUUGAGCUGCUGUAUGCUAAGAAAAUAGGUGUGAAAAACUGGUGUUCUGAAAGAGCCUAACGUUUAUUGUAAUUCUGAGUUUUCUGCCUUUUUAUUCAUUGCAUAUUAGAGUAUU